rnacentral:rRNA from 1 species
UACAGAGGGUGCGAGCGUUGUUCGGAAUUAUUGGGCGUAAAGGGCGCGUAGGCGGUGCGGUAAGUCACCUGUGAAAUCUCCUGGCUCAACUGGGAGCUUGCAGGCGAAACUGCCGUGCUGGAGUGUGGGAGAGGUGCGUGGAAUUCCUGGUGUAGCGGUGAAAUGCGUAGAUAUCAGGAGGAACACCUGUGGCGAAAGCGACUUCCUGGACCAAUACUGACGCUCAUGUGCGAAAGCGUGGGGAGCAAACAGG